rnacentral:pre_miRNA from 1 species
AAACUGCCCCCUAAUUAAAUUUUGCAACUGUAGCAGUUUUGGCUCCCUAAGGCGAAAAAAAUAUAAAAAAAUAACAUGUGACACCUCACUUAGGGUGCCACGUCAGCGUAGACCGAGUCAAAAUUGACCUUGGGGGCCAAAACUGCCACAGGUGCAAAAUUUAGAGGGUGGUUU